AACAGGGAGGAAAAAAAAGAAAAACUUGCUCACUCUGAGAGCUCAACUGUGCAUGCACUUUUCUAUUUGGUGCUUGUAGACGUUAUGGGAAAGUUGUCUCUCUCCCUCUCCCCAUCCCUCCCUCUUCCUCUUUCUCCUUCUCUUCUUCUGUCAUGUGCUCGGGAUGUGCUCGCGCUCUGCACAGAGCGGCUGUGGCGCGUCUCAUGCGUGCUCCAGAGUGUUAGCGGCAAUUUUAAAGUCCCCCCUGCCAAAAUGAUCCGGCUGGGAUAUCUGAGGGGGACAUAUACCACAUCACCUGCGCGCGGAGCCCCUUCUCCUCCUGUUUGGGACGCUUUCUGGCCGUUUGCAGAGAUUUGACUCUCCUUUGGGAACGAUGGAGAAAGAAAACUGUGAAGAACUGCAGGCAGCAGGAAGUAGAGGUCAACUUAAGAUCUCUGGGAUUUUGCUCUCUUCUGGACCCCCAUGAGGUUGGAUCAACGUCAACGAUUUGCAGCCCCAUAAACCAGUUGGGACAAAGACUGGAGUGUCGACACUUCCGAUCCCAAGAAUAUUCAGCUAAUCUCAGAGGUGGAUGACGUCUUCUGAUCAAGCAGAGAGGAGCCUGAAAUCAAACAGAGAAGGAGAUUCAAGACAUUUUCAUCCUCCUACAAGGCUUGAAGCUGCACUGUGCUCUUUUGUUUUUUGUAUUUUUGUCCACUAGUUUGAUGACAGUGUUGACCAAAACUGACAAAUACUCUCAACAAAGGCCUGAAAAUAGUCAUUUCAACACCUGCUGUGACUUUGUUCUAACAGGCAUCAAUGUAUUUAUUUUUAAAUUUUUCAAUGGAAGAACACUUCCUAAGAUCACAUGAAAAUAUUCUACACUUUAGAAAACUAGCAUUUAUUUCAUGAUUGAGUCUAACUGCGAUAUUUUUUGACAGCUAAAUAAAGACUUUUUUUUCCCCUUUAAGUGAUGCUUUAAAUGUGAGUUAUUUCCUCCUU